AUUAGAAGGGUCUAGGAUUCCUUUGUAAGGCACAGCAAGAAAGACAAUCAGAUACAAUAUCAGGGAUCUCCUGGUAAGGCUUCUGGCUACCAUUAGUUCUGAAUACUGAGGUUUUGAUGAGAAAAAUGGCUGUGAGUUUUGAAAUGUCUUUGAGAAUUUCUUGGAUUUGUUGCCUGUUAAUUGGAGGGAUAACCUGUUAUCCUCCACCUAAAGGUAACUAUAGAUAUAUUCCCCCAAAUAAAUUAAAAGGAACCACGACUGGCCCAAAUACUUUAGGUGGAGCAACUGGAUCCCGUACCUCAGCAGCAGAAGCAGCCACCCACAAUGCCUCAGCAAGUGCCACGACUGGCCCAAAUACUUUAGGUGAAGCAACUGGAUCCCGUACCGCAGAAGCAGCCACCCACAAUGCCUCAGCAAGCGCCACGACUGGCCCAAAUACUUUAGGUGAAGCAACUGGCCACAGUGCCUCGGCAGC